GAGAGAGAGAGAGAGAGAGAGAGAGAGAGAGAGAGAGAGAGAGAGAGAGAGAGAGAGAGACGAUGGGUAAAGAACUCGGCGCCCUAGCAAACCUCGGCUCCUUCUCUUCCUCGUCGGCCUCGAGAUAGAUCUGAAAUCUCUCCGCCGCACAAGCCAAAAGGUGAUUUCCAUCGCAGCCGCCAGAAUGCUCCUUCCCUUCGCUUUCCCGGAAGUUUCUUAACCGGAAUCUGUGCCUUCACCAGCGCAUACCACGGUGGACAGGAUGACUCGAAGCCACUCAGAGUGGGCCUUGCAGAGGCUUCUCAAGGAGAUGUCCGGUUCCAAUCAAACCAACAACGCAAUCGAUCGGCCAGCUCCCUCCGGUUCAGUCUAAUGAGUCUCUUUCAAUCGUCGACGAAACCGCCGAUGUUGUUGAGAUGCAGAAGUAGUGCGGCUGUAUAAGUGCUUUUCAUGUGCUACAUUUCUUGAUGCUCAAGGAAAUCUGAGAGUCUGGUUUUGGAUUCAGCGCUUUGUCCCAACAAUUCAUGGCCAGAACAUAAGCUUUGAAGGAUGGUAUCGAGCAGACAAGGAAGACAAGGCGACAUAGAAACUCUGAUGUAUGUACCAGAGGACUCGAUAGAAGUCAACUCUGGUGACUAGGUGAUGCGACGACAGCACUCUGAAGGCGGAUGCUCUGGAGGCUGGAGGUGUAGGAUUAGGGUUUCUGGCGGAGGCUUAGUAUAGCUUUAGGUUAAUUGUGUUUUGGCUAAUUAUGUUUUGGUUUAAUGUUUUAAUUUGUUUUUUUGUUUAAUGUGUUCUUUAGUUAUUUGUACACUGAUGACUGAUGUUAAUCAAUAAAUAAAAUUUAAUUUUUAAUUAUAAA